rnacentral:lncRNA from 1 species
UGACAGUCCUUUCUUUUCAUUCGGCAUUGUUAUGACUAAAAAGAAAAGCUCGACAGAGGAAAUGAGAAAAGCUUUUCUUUGAUUGUGAUCUGUGUUACUGACUUAUUAUGACGCUAAUGUUCACUAGUUUCUGCUUUCUCCGCUGGUGCACUGUGUCGGUUAAAGGUUUAUCCAACUGGACACUAGGGGGAACCACCACACAUUUCCUAAACUGCAUUGUAAAAGUACACAUUAUAAGAAAAUUUUCACGUUUUUCCAACCGCAUUGGAGCAAAAAUGCAUUGUAGGAGGCCCAAUGUUGUAAAUUGGGAUUACAUUUUUAGAAUAGUUUUCUUUCUGGUAAUAAAAUUGAUGUUAUUUAACUAUCUAUUGUCAUCUAAUCAUUAUUAUAUUCUUCAAUAAUGGAAUGAAAAUCAUGAUUUAAAUGUAAAUUUUAAUUGGAAAGUAUUACUUAGAA